UACGGAGGGUGCAAGCGUUAUCCGGAUUCACUGGGUUUAAAGGGUGCGUAGGAGGGCAGGUAAGUCAGUGGUGAAAUCCUAGGGCUCAACCCUAGAACUGCCGUUGAUACUAUCUGUCUUGAAUACAGUGGAGGUGAGCGGAAUAUGUCAUGUAGCGGUGAAAUGCUUAGAUAUGACAUAGAACACCAAUUGCGAAGGCAGCUUACUACACAACGAUUGACGCUGAGGCACGAAAGCGUGGGGAUCAAACAGG
rnacentral:rRNA from 1 species